UACAGAGGUCCCAAGCGUUGUUCGGAUUCAUUGGGCGUAAAGGGUGCGUAGGCGGCGCGGUAAGUCGGGUGUGAAAUCUCGGGGCUUAACUCCGAAACUGCAUUCGAUACUGCCGUGCUUGAGGACUGGAGAGGAGACUGGAAUUUACGGUGUAGCGGUGAAAUGCGUAGAUAUCGUAAGGAAGACCAGUGGCGAAGGCGGGUCUCUGGACAGUGCCUGACGCUGAGGAACGAAGGCCAGGGGAGCAAACGGG
rnacentral:rRNA from 1 species